UACGGAGGUGGCAAGCGUUGUUCGGAUUUAUUGGGUGUAAAGGGUAUGUAGGCGUCCUGAUAAGUCGAAUGUGAAAUCCCAUGGCUCAACCAUGGAACUGCAUUCGAUACUGCCAGGAUUGAGCAUGGGAGAGGAGAGUGGAAUUCCCGGUGUAAGGGUGAAAUCUGUAGAUAUCGGGAGGAACACCAGUGGCGAAAGCGGCUCUCUGGCCCAAGGCUGACGCUGAAAUACGAAAGCUAAGGGAGCAAACAGGAUUAGAUACCCUUGUA
rnacentral:rRNA from 1 species